UACGAGGGGUCCUAGCGUUGUUCGGAAUCAUUGGGCGUAAAGGGUGUGUAGGUGGCUAUGUAAGUCAGGUGUGAAAGCCCCGGGCUCAACCCGGGAAGUGCAUCUGAUACUGCGUAGCUUGAGUACCGAAGAGGAUAGUGGAAUUCCAGGUGUAGUGGUGAAAUACGUAGAUAUCUGGAGGAACACCGGUGGCGAAGGCGGGUCUCUGGGCCGUAACUGACGGCUGAGGAGCGAAAGCAUGGGUAGCGAACAGG
rnacentral:rRNA from 1 species